rnacentral:rRNA from 1 species
AGUGGCGGACGGGUGAGUAACACGUGAGAAUUUACCUUUAGGAGGGGGAUAACAAUUGGAAACGAUUGCUAAUACCCCAUAUGCUUUUUUAAGUGAAACGGAUUUAUUCGCCUAAAGAAAAGCUCGCGGCUGAUUAGCUAGUUGGUAAGGUAAUGGCUUACCAAGGCGACGAUCAGUAUCUGGUUUGAGAGGAUGAUCAGACACACUGGAACUGAGACACGGUCCAGACUCCUACGGGAGGCAGCAGUGGGGAAUUUUCCGCAAUGGGCGAAAGCCUGACGGAGCAAUACCGCGUGAGGGAAGAAAGCCUACUGGGUUGUAAACCUCUUUUUUUAGGGAGGAAAAAAAUGACGUGUACCUGAAGAAUAAGCAUCGGCUAACUCCGUGCCAGCAGCCGCGGUAAGACGGAGGAUGCAAGUGUUAUCCGGAAUUACUGGGCGUAAAGCGUCUGUAGGUGGUUUAAUAAGUCAACUGUUAAAUCUUGAGGCUUAACUUCAAAACAGCAGUC